UACAGAGGGGGCGAGCGUUGUUCGGAAUUACUGGGCGUAAAGGGCGCGUAGGCGGCCUUCUAAGUCGAACGUGAAAUCCCCGGGCUCAACCCGGGAACUGCGUCCGAUACUGGGAGGCUUGAAUCCGGGAGAGGGAUGCGGAAUUCCAGGUGUAGCGGUGAAAUGCGUAGAUAUCUGGAGGAACACCGGUGGCGAAGGCGGCAUCCUGGACCGGUAUUGACGCUGAGGCGCGAAAGCCAGGGGAGCAAACGGGG
rnacentral:rRNA from 1 species